UGCAGAGCGAGCAGGAGGAACAGACAGAGAGAGUGAGUCUGUUAUUAAUCUCCUUUUCCAGACAAAAGUGAUAAAUGCAGAAGUCUUACCAUAAAACUGACUAUGAGAUACACGUGUAUGAAACCGGAGUAAACAGAAUACAGUACAGGGAAUAGCUUCGGAGGUCGGGAAGUUAGUGUGAGAAUUAUUCUGCGAGUCUGCGGUAACUUCCGUUUUUCAAAAUAAGGGUCAGGGUGUGGUAGCCGGAUGUAUUCGCAUUCACCAAGUCGGACAAGGAAAUUAGGCAAUACCCCUUAAACUGGCAUGUUUCAUUAUACAACAUGAACUACUGCAAAUGAAUUUUACUUCGUACACGGACCGUGGUUAAAUGACUUAUUGAGAUAGUUUUGUUUUUUUUACUUGAUCAUCUGGGAGUUUUGAUACAGCCAUCUGUGGAGCUUUUUGGACUUUUACCAUUUUUACUUUCAUCAUCGUCUACAGACUCCAAAGGAAUUAAGAGAGAAGGAGCCACACGGGAGAGACCAGCAGAUGGCAUCACUACCUAAGAAACCACAACGUGACAAGGAACUCACAGGAGAAGAUGUACUGCCUGAAGUGGAAAAAAUCAUGGCAAGUGUUGAGAGUAGGCUACCUCAGACAGAGCUCAAAGAUUUUCUAGAG